UAAAAGAUUCAACCCAUCCAACCUACAAUGAAGUGAUUGAGUACAAACUAUCACAAGACGUGUUAAGACAAAAGCUGUUACAAGUUACAAUCUGGGACCAUGAUGUGCUAAGGGAAAACCCCUUUCUUGGGGCAGUGUAUGUCAGACUUAGAGACAUUGACUUUACCAAUACAGUAUCACAAUGGUAUAAACUGGAGAAACUACAAAUCACAGACACAAAUGCAUUGUAACAUUUUAACUAUUUGUAAACCAGUCAGAAAAUGCAAAAUUGUGAUUGGAUGAUUUAAAUUUUGAAUUUAUAAUUGACCAAUGGCAUGAUAGGAUUCAAAGACUGGUCACCAAAUGUAUUAAUAAGACCAGUAGCUCGAAUCAGCAGUACAUUGUCUUUUUUAAUAUAGAUUUUAGCUUUUAAGAGAAGAUUUGUUAAAAGCGUUAAAGGAUAUUCGAGCUAGAAUGUUUUAGUAUAAAAGCAGCAUGCCUCCAGAUUCUCAUUUUCAUAAAAAAAAUUGAAAAUGUAUUUUAAAAGUGAAAUAUGUGAAAUGAAAAAAGAAAGUAAUUUACACAUUGCAAACUGCACUUCCAAUAUCUGUAAAUUACCAAACUGAGGUCUAAAUAGCAAAAUUAGCACAUACAUUUAUACUGUAUAAGUCGUGCAAUAGAAUUAUGAUGAUAAAUACUAGAUAGUCAGUUAUUAAUCGCAUAUAACUUGUAAAUUAUUACUUAAAUCUUGAAUCUUUUACUUUUCUCAACAUCUUAGUACAUUUUCCCAAGUUUCAUUUUCUUGAAAUAUUUGGUUCAUCUGGAGGCUUGCAGCUUUAAAUUAUAUGUAAGAUGACUAUGAGGGGCUCUUCCAAGUUGUUAUUUUAGUUGAAAAAUUAUUUAGUGCCAUAUAACACUACAAUUGUUUGAUAUGAAUGUUAAGUAUAAAUAUUGCAGGCAAAUUUAGAAGUUAUCACAAAGUCAAAACCAUAUCAACCAUGCAGCAAUAAAGCACAUUUAUUCUUCCCAAAUGUUCAGGGGAGCUUACAGUUACCUGUUUGUCCUUUAACCAUGUAUGUGUAUAUAUAAUUUCUAAUGGAGAUUUCAGUCAUUGUCACUGGAUACAUGUUGUUGUUAUGCAUGCACCUGUAUUGAACUUUUACCCUUUAGGGGUUUGAAGGUCAUAGGGUCAAGUUCACUAUUUAGGCUAAUGGAAGACUUUCUGUUUUGAAUAUUUUAAGAAUAGUAGGGCUUUUCUUCUUACUGGUGUCAUGGUACCACUUUUAUACAGUUUUAUAUGUUACUUCAUAUCAAAGUUUAAUAUUGUAACCAUUGAAGGUGUUUACCUGAAAAAAAAAUGUAUUCUACUUAGAAAGACUAUGUCUUUAGCAUCAGGGAGCAUUCAUGAGGUGUACAAAUAAUUUUUAGUACAUUUUUUAAUCACUAUAUCGUAUUGAUAAAUCAGAGAACCAAAUGAAAUCAGAUUAAUUAAAAUAUCAUAUCAUUGUACAUUCAGAAAAUGCGUUACUCAUAAAAAAUCAUCUGUACAUUAUUUUCUUUUGUAUGACAAUUAAAAUCAUGUAUCAAUAUUUAAAUACACUUGGAGCAGAUAGUUGAGUGUGGUUUUAAUUAUACAUUUUAUCACAGAAACACAGAUCUUCAUGUAGCUUUUUAGUUUUAAUGGGAACAUUUUGUUCAUUUUUUUUUAUUAUUUUGUCUGUACCACAAUUAUAAAAUACCUAGGUAUUAGGACAAUAGGACUUAAAUUAAAUAUUGUGGUGUCUAAUGUGAAAUGACUGAGCUCAUGCCCUGUUGUUGACUAAUUUCAAAAUCUGGUCAAAAAAUAUUUUUCCUGUGUUUCUUUGUAAAAUUGCUGGAAAUAUCUGUUUAAAAAUAGGUUUAUUUGUAAAUUGGUUUAAAAAUUGUUUCUUUGUAAAAUUGCUUGAAAUACCUACUUAAAAACAACAACAGAAAGUAUAGAAAAUGAAACAGUUAAAACUUAUGUACAUGUUAAAAUAUGCAUCCAUUUUAAUAAUAGAAUACUGUUUUAAAGAAUUUAGAAAAUAUGUCUUUUUUCUGAAGAUUGUAAUACAUCUAUUUUGAUUAUAAUUUAAAAUAUGUAGAUGUGUUUGACAGAAAAAAGAAUAAUUUACCUAUCUACCAACCUGAAAAGAAAAGUCAUGUAUUUGCGGUUUAUCCACUUAAAUAACUUACCUAGAUACUAAACAGUAAUUUCCAAUUUCAGUGCAAGUGACAGUUAAUGAAAUGUUAAUGCCACAUAAUAUCUGCUAAUUCAGCAAGUGACCAUUAGAUUUAAUGUCCGACAUCAGUUGGCACGGAGAAGUUAUGCCUUGUCCGAGGAUUGAACCAGUGACCCCAAGAUUACUAACAUGAUGCUUUCCAUAUUGGGCUAAGCAGGCAGACAUGUAAAUAUAAUAUGAAAAAAUAAACUUCCUGUGUUCUGUAUUACCAGAGAGAAAUUAAUCCUUUGCUUAUGAUAUGUUAUAGUAUAUAUAUAUCAAUAUUUAUUACAUUAAAUUAUAUGAUUUUUUUUGUUAUCACUAUUGGCUUUAAGAAAUUCGUGCAAUAUCAUAACAUUUACAAAACUUGUAUUUAUUUCCUAAAAACUGUUGGUGCAUUGCAGAUGUGAUGCCUAUUAUUUUGCACAUGUUAUAUUACUCAUGAAAAUUUCUGAAUGUAAAUUUUUAUUUUUUAAACUUGAAUGUUGAUUAUGGCAGACCUGAGUUAACUGUAUAGAUAGUUCCCAAUUUUAACAAUAUUUACCUCUCUUGCUUAAAGCGGCAGCCAUUUUGGGGAUCAAUAUCUGUUAUUAAAUAAUUGACAAAAUAUAAAAAAAAUCAAUAUAAACAGUUGAUUUAGGUGAAUUGUCAAACAUUUUUAUACACAUGAAAAUGACCCUUACAAUUGAAUAAUCUAACUUCCAUAUUCCUUUGCUAGUUUUGUCUAAUUUAUUUUUGUAAACUGAAUUAAAUCCCUUUAACAAAAGAAUUGUCAUAACAUAUUUAGAGUAAAAGUUUUCAAUGGCAAAUACAGGUUCAAAUAAUUGGAUUGCUUGGGAUUUUUUAAGAAUAAUAUCUUUCAAUAUGCUAGAAUGCGGACACUUUUUGUUAAAUAUUGCAUUUAUUUUGAGUGUUUUAUUGAAUAUAUAGCAUGAACUAUUUUGUUUAUUCUGGUUAUUUGCUGUUAUACCAUCUUUUACAAAGAUAAGAUAUUAAACUUACUAUUAUUACUAUAGAAUAUUGUCUGUGAUAACAUGAAUGAUAUUUUGUUAAAAAAAUCUGUUUUCUUUUCUUUGAAAGAGAUUAUAAGUGAAUUAUUUUUGCACAAGAAUAUGAAGGCUAUGGACAAAAGUAGUAGGUGCCAUAAACUUAUAAAGGGUGUAUGUGUCUGGAGUAUACCGACUUAAGGCACACUCACAUGUUUUCUCUUUUGACACCAUUACUAGUUAUAGUACCAUGAUAUGAACUGUGUCAUGAUUGAUAUCAGUUGUAGUAACUCGUUUCACAAUGGAGCUUAAGUAGAUAUAUUCAAUCUUAAUAAGAUAUGAACAUGUAAAGUUAUUAUAUUUAUGAUAAAAAACAUAUGUCUUUAAUGCUUAAAAUGAAAGCUUUACGUCUCCUCUAGAAAGACAUUUGAUUUGUAAAGAAUAAUUCUAAUGUAAGAAAUGUAUAUAUAUGUUUGUCAGUUAGUAUUAAGGAAGAAGUUUUUCUGUGUAUUUCAUAUAUCAAUUUGAGAGACUAGUGGAAUUCUGGUAAAUUAUAUGGAUAUGUUGAAACAUAGUAUGUAUAUUAAAUACAUAUUUUAAACGCUAAUUUACAAUGCUAAAAAUUUCCCAGUAGGGCAUGUAGUUGCCCAUUGCUCCUCCCCUCUUGCUUUCUUUGUAUCCACAUACACUGAUUUUAUUUCAAGAGAUGUCUUACUUAACUUAUAUUUUUGGACAAUUCAUUUAAUUGGAUCAAGCUUAAUGGUAUUAAAUAUAGAUUUUUUUUCUCACAUUUUUACUCAGAGUAUGUCCAUGUUUACUUUGCCAGAUCAUCAUGCAUCUUCCAUAGGUGUUACUGUUUGCUUUGUAUGAUUGGAAAGCUUCCAUAGGUGACACCUAUAUGAUUGUUUUGUCUUCAAUAAGGAGUCAAUGUUUAUGUUUAUUUUGUUAUUUGUUGAAGAAAACAUAGUAGAUUAAGUAAACGUUUUCUUUCAUUCUAACACUAUUAAACAGAAUGUUCACUUUAGUACAUUAUUGCAUGAUUAAGCAAAGAAUAAGAAAUUUAUUAUGGAAAGUCGGUGGUUCUAUUAUAGUGCCAGCAUAUUGCUGAAGAAAAAAUGCACUGAGGGACAUCUGAAGUAAUGAUUAAGAUUAUAUGAAUAUUUAUGUUUUAGUCAAUGAACUUACAAACGUUUUAAUUCUUAGAUUAUAAGAGUUACCUACAUGUAGAUAAAUACUGUAUAAUAACCAUGUUUCUAUCUUUGAUUUUAUGACAUAUUUCAUACCUUGAUUUGAUGAAAAUGUCAAACUUUUAUUAUAUGAAUUUUCAGCCAUAGAUUAUAAUUUUAUAUACAUGUAGCAUAUAACUUGAUUAUUUGUAUACAAAUGCCAUGUACUGUUAAUGUAGUGCUUUUAUAAGUUAAUAUCAACUGUUUUUAUUUGUAAAAAUAUAAUUUAUUCAGUCAUUCGUUCAAUCUUUAUAUAGAAUAACCAUCUGUGAUAACCAUAUCCUUACAAAUAAAAGGAAUUUCAAUGUCA